rnacentral:rRNA from 1 species
GACGAACGCUGGCGGCAUGCCUAUUACAUGCAAGUCGAGCGAACAGAUGAAGUGCUUGCACUUCUGACGUUAGCGGCGAACGGGUGAGUAACACGUAAGGAAUCUACCUAUAAGCGGGGGAUAACAUUCGGAAACGGGUGCUAAUACCGCAUAAUAUCUUCUUCCGCAUGGACGAAGAUUGAAAGACGGCUCUGCUGUCACUUAUAGAUGACCUUGCGGUGCAUUAGUUAGUUGGUGGGGUAAUGGCCUACCAAGACGAUGAUGCAUAGCCGACCUGAGAGGGUGAUCGGCCACAUUGGGACUGAGACACGGCCCAAACUCCUACGGGAGGCAGCAGUAGGGAAUCUUCCGCAAUGGGCGAAAGCCUGACGGAGCAAUGCCGCGUGAGUGAAGAAGGCCUUCGGGUCGUAAAACUCUGUUAUAAGAGAAGAACAAAUUGUAGAGUAACUGCUACAGUCUUGACGGUAUCUUAUCAGAAAGCCACGGCUAACUACGUGCCAGCCGCCGCGGUAA